GCGUCUCACAGCGUGGGUCUCAGGUUGGGAGAGGGUCUCAGGUCCAGGAAGGCUUCAGAACAGUAACAACAACAACAACAACAACAAAAAAGGGGCAUGCAGAGGGACAAAGCGCUGUACCUCACCUGAAAAUCUCAACACCUCUCCUUUCCACUGAGGAAUUCAGGGAAACCUUUUCACCACGGAUUGCUUUGGCCGCUCAAAGCAGUUCUUCAUUUUAUUAGAAAAUACAAGUUGCUAAGCACUUAGGACCAUGUGAGCUUGUGGGUCACCCACGCUGGAAGAAAUAGUCAUGCUUCUUUAUUAUUUUUUUAAUCUUUUAUGGACAUUGUCCCUCUUCCCUGAAGGAAGUAUGGGCCAUUCAGAUUUCUGUUGGUUUUGCUGUGAAGUGCUGCCGCUCUAGUAACUGCCUUAGCAACGGUAGAUGUCUGGGGUAAAACGGUCCUGGGUUUUCCAUUGGUUUUCAUAAUGGGUGUUUAUAUGAAACUACUAAAGACUUUUUAAAUGGCUUGAUGUAGCAGUCAUAGCAAGUUUGUAAAUAGCAUAUAUGUUACACUCUCCUAGAGUAUAAAAUGUGAAUGUUUUUGUAGCUAAAUUGUAAUUUGAAACUGGCUCACCCCAGUUUGUUGAUUUCAGAGGGGUUAAAUUGGCAAACAUUCAUAUUUUUACUUCAUUUUUAAAAAGAAAAAAAACAACUGACUGAUAGUUCUAUAUUUUCAAAAGACUUGAAAACUAUUCCCAAAUCAUUUUAAUUUAAAAACAAAUUGGCUUUGUCUUAUUGAUCAGACAAAAGGAAGCUCUCGUGUGGAGGGAAGCGCAAACACAUUUAUUUUGUAUUGCAGGAAAAAAAUUCUUUUUUGUAUCACUUUUGUGUAAUGGUUAGUAAGCGUCAUCUAAGUCCUUUUAUGUAUAAAACUGCCAAAUGCUCGCCUGGUAUCUUAGCUGCAGAAACAGGUCAAACAGCGCUAAGUGAUCACCGUUACCUGUGGCUCUGUGUUACUGUUCCCUCAUCCGUGUCUGUAUUUAAUCGUUUUCUUCUCUUUUUUUUUUAAUGAAACUUGUUUCGCUUAUUUAUGAAAUAAUAAAUAUAGGUGUUUGUAAGUAAAUUUGUUAGUAUUUGAAAGAGGUUUUGUUGAUGCUUUAAUUUUUGCUGGCAAAAAAGAAAAAAAAUCCAUGCUUGGUGUGAAUAUUUAGUUUUUACAGUGACAUGAAUAAAACCAAAACUGCUUUUCAUUUAGUAGCAAAAUAGAGUGACGAAUCUGUAUUUUUGCAUAUCUUUUGUUGACAUAAAUGAAAAACAAUUCUACUUAGCCAUCUUCUUCUCUUGAACAAUACAACAGAAAAUUGCCCUGGAGAUCUCACACUUGCCAAGCCUAAGCAAACACCAGUGCAUCCCGUUCCUAAAAAGAUACGAAGAGCUAUUUUUCACUUCUCCAUUCCAAAACAUUUAACCACCACCACCACACCACACACACCCGCUAAAAACCAAAUUCAAGUUGAGUCACUCAAAAUUCCUCAAGCCACAUGCUUCUCAUAGCAUGCAGAAAACAUUUAAGAAUUGACCAAGGGUUCAGGAAGAGGUCAAAGAAGGAUAUCAUGUCUAGGAUCAAUCUAGAAAUGAAGGACUAGUAACCAGAUCAGCUAUAGAAAUAGGAAAAACAUGGAAACCGGAAGCAGUUGCUAGAAACUGUGAAAUCUGCUGUCCCUCUCCCCUCUACUCUCUUCUUCCUCUUCUAUGCAUCCUGAGUCCCUGUAAGAGAUUUGCCUGAAGGUGUUUGCAUAGUUCUGAUAGCAGAAGGGAAGGGUGAGGAAAUGUUUCCCUUCCACGGGCUUCUGUCACGUAAAUUCAUCUGGCUGGACAUGAAGAGAAUGAUUGUUUUGCGGAAUGAAAUAACCUCAACAAUUUAAAUACAAAUAUAUCAUGUAAUCCAGUCAAAAUUAAAAAGACAAAAGUCUUGCUUGCUUUGGAUUGGUUUUUCAGACACUGUGCGAGUUGAAUCACUUGGCAUGUAAUGACUAAUAAAUAAUGCACAUUCAGUGUUAUUAUUAAAAUG
rnacentral:lncRNA from 1 species